UUGAACGCUGGCGGCAGGCCUAACACAUGCAAGUCGAACGGUAACAGGAAACAGCUUGCUGUUUCGCUGACGAGUGGCGGACGGGUGAGUAAUGUCUGGGAAACUGCCUGAUGGAGGGGGAUAACUACUGGAAACGGUAGCUAAUACCGCAUAACGUCGCAAGACCAAAGAGGGGGACCUUCGGGCCUCUUGCCAUCGGAUGUGCCCAGAUGGGAUUAGCUUGUUGGUGGGGUAACGGCUCACCAAGGCGACGAUCCCUAGCUGGUCUGAGAGGAUGACCAGCCACACUGGAACUGAGACACGGUCCAGACUCCUACGGGAGGCAGCAGUGGGGAAUAUUGCACAAUGGGCGCAAGCCUGAUGCAGCCAUGCCGCGUGUAUGAAGAAGGCCUUCGGGUUGUAAAGUACUUUCAGCGGGGAGGAAGGGAGUAAAGUUAAUACCUUUGCUCAUUGACGUUACCCGCAGAAGAAGCACCGGCUAACUCCGUGCCAGCAGCCGCGGUAAUACGGAGGGUGCAAGCGUUAAUCGGAAUUACUGGGCGUAAAGCGCACGCAGGCGGUUUGUUAAGUCAGAUGUGAAAUCCCCGGGCUCAACCUGGGAACUGCAUCUGAUACUGGCAAGCUUGAGUCUCGUAGAGGGGGGUAGAAUUCCAGGUGUAGCGGUGAAAUGCGUAGAGAUCUGGAGGAAUACCGGUGGCGAAGGCGGCCCCCUGGACGAAGACUGACGCUCAGGUGCGAAAGCGUGGGGAGCAAACAGGAUUAAAUACCCUGGUAGUCCACGCCGUAAACGAUGUCGACUUGGAGGUUGUGCCCUUGAGGCGUGGCUUCCGGAGCUAACGCGUUAAGUCGACCGCCUGGGGAGUACGGCCGCAAGGUUAAAACUCAAAUGAAUUGACGGGGGCCCGAACAAGCGGUGGAGCAUGUGGUUUAAUUCGAUGCAAAUCGAAGAACCUUACCUGGUCUUGACAUCCACGGAAGUUUUCAGAGAUGAGAAUGUGCCUUCGGGAACCGUGAGACAGGUGCUGCAUGGCUGUCAUCAGCUCGUGUUGUGAAAUGUUGGGUUAAGUCCCGCAACGAGCGCAACCCUUAUCCUUUGUUGCCAGCGGUCCGGCCGGGAACUCAAAGGAGACUGCCAGUGAUAAACUGGAGGAAGGUGGGGAUGACGUCAAGUCAUCAUGGCCCUUACGACCAGGGCUACACACGUGCUACAAUGGCGCAUACAAAGAGAAGCGACCUCGCGAGAGCAAGCGGACCUCAUAAAGUGCGUCGUAGUCCGGAUUGGAGUCUGCAACUCGACUCCAUGAAGUCGGAAUCGCUAGUAAUCGUGGAUCAGAAUGCCACGGUGAAUACGUUCCCGGGCCUUGUACACACCGCCCGUCACACCAUGGGAGUGGGUUGCAAAAGAAGUAGGUAGCUUAACCUUCGGGAGGGCGCUUACCACUUUGUGAUUCAUGACUGGGGUG
rnacentral:rRNA from 1 species